AUUGAACGCUGGCGGCAGGCUUAACACAUGCAAGUCGAGCGGAGAUGAGGUGCUUGCACCUUAUCUUAGCGGCGGACGGGUGAGUAAUGCUUAGGAAUCUGCCUAUUAGUGGGGGACAACAUUCCGAAAGGAAUGCUAAUACCGCAUACGUCCUACGGGAGAAAGCAGGGGAUCUUCGGACCUUGCGCUAAUAGAUGAGCCUAAGUCGGAUUAGCUAGUUGGUGGGGUAAAGGCCUACCAAGGCGACGAUCUGUAGCGGGUCUGAGAGGAUGAUCCGCCACACUGGGACUGAGACACGGCCCAGACUCCUACGGGAGGCAGCAGUGGGGAAUAUUGGACAAUGGGGGGAACCCUGAUCCAGCCAUGCCGCGUGUGUGAAGAAGGCCUUAUGGUUGUAAAGCACUUUAAGCGAGGAGGAGGCUACUGAGACUAAUACCCUUGGAUAGUGGACGUUACUCGCAGAAUAAGCACCGGCUAACUCUGUGCCAGCAGCCGCCGCGGUAA
rnacentral:rRNA from 1 species